GGCCGAGUGGCGGAAUGGCAGACGCAGGGGACUUAAAAUCCCUACUUGGGAUUCCAAGGUGUGGGUUCGACUCCCACCUCGGCCACCA
rnacentral:tRNA from 1 species